GGAUUGCCUCAGUAACGGCGAGUGAAGCGGCAACAGCUCAAAUUUAGAAUCUGGCCCCUCCGGGGUCCGAGUUGUAAUUUGCAGAGGAUGCUUCGGCGUCGGCCCCGGGUCAAGUCCCUUGGAACAGGGCGUCCUAGAGGGUGAGAGCCCCGUACGCCCGGGCCGCCUUCGCCGUGUGAAGCUCCUUCGACGAGUCGAGUUGUUUGGGAAUGCAGCUCUAAGAGGGAGGUAAAUUUCUUCUAAAGCUAAAUACCGGCCAGAGACCGAUAGCGCACAAGUAGAGUGAUCGAAAGAUGAAAAGCACUUUGGAAAGAGAGUUAAAAAGCACGUGAAAUUGUUGAAAGGGAAGCUCUUGCCGCCAGACUUGCCGCGGUUGCUCAGCCGCCCUUCCGGGCGGCGUACUCUUCCGCCGGCAGGCCAGCGUCAGCUCGGGCGGCCGGAAAAAGGCCCUGGGAAUGUAGCCCUCCUCGGGGGGUGUUAUAGCCCGGGGUGCAAUGCGGUCAGCCCGGGUUGAGGCACGCGUUCGCUAGGACGCUGGCGUAAUGGCUGCAAGCGACCCGUCUUGAAACACGGACCAAGGAGUCUAACAUCUGUGCGAGUGUUUGGGUGCCAAACCCGUGCGCGUAAUGAAAGUGAACGGAGGUGGGAACCCCCGAGGGUGCACCAUCGACCGAUCCUGAUGUCUUCGGAUGGAUUUGAGUAAGAGCAUAGCUGUUGGGACCCGAAAGAUGGUGAACUAUGCCUGAAUAGGGUGAAGCCAGAGGAAACUCUGGUGGAGGCUCGCAGCGGUUCUGACGUGCAAAUCGAUCGUCAAAUUUGGGUAUAGGGGCGAAAGACUAAUCGAACCAU
rnacentral:rRNA from 2 species